rfam:Zea mays strain NB mitochondrion, complete genome.
UAGCUCAGUUGGGUAGAGUGCUGGUCUGUCACGCCAGAAGUCGCGGGUUCGAACCCCGU